UACGUAGGGGGCAAGCGUUGUCCGGAUUUAUUGGGCGUAAAGAGCGUGUAGGCGGCCAGACAGGUCCGUUGUGAAAACUCGAGGCUCAACCUCGAGACGCCGAUGGAAACCGUUUGGCUAGAGUCCGGAAGAGGAGAGUGGAAUUCCUGGUGUAGCGGUGAAAUGCGCAGAUAUCAGGAAGAACACCCGUGGCUAAGGCGGCUCUCUAGUACGGUACUGACGCUGAGGCGCGAAAGCGUGGGGAGCGAACAGG
rnacentral:rRNA from 1 species